GGGCGAUUAGCUCAGCGGGAGAGCACUCCCUUCACACGGGAGGGGUCGCAGGUUCAAUCCCUGCAUCGCCCUCCA
rnacentral:tRNA from 1 species